rnacentral:rRNA from 1 species
AACCCAAAAGAUCGAAUGGGGAGAUUCAUCGUCAACGGUACCGGCUCCCGUUGGUGCGCGAUGCUCCGGUUGGACCCUUUCGGGGGCUCCACAUCGUGAGGGCACGCCACCUUCGGCUCGAACGCUCCGGUGUCGUAGUCGUGCACUUCUCCCUUAGUAGAACGUCGCGACCCGUUGUGUGUCGGCCUACGGCCCGAGCGGGUGCCUGUCGCGUCGCUUCGCGCGCACGCGUCAGACCCUCGGAUCCCCGGCCGGCUGCACGACGGUACUCCCACGGUAUCGGGCCGCAACCAAUCCGAUUCUCGAAUCGAAUGUGCGUCGGGCCCGCCGCAAGCUCGAUCAGUUCUUACCCGGUGGUCGGACCUAGUGCCGUCCCCGGGCCUGAUCAGCUGUUAGCAGGCGGUGUCCUCGGACUGGCCAAGCUUCGAAUUACCGGUCGGCGACGCUACUGCUUUGGGUACUCUCAGGACCCGUCUUGAAACACGGACCAAGGAGUCUAACAUGUGCGCGAGUCAUUGGGAUACACAAACCUAAAGGCGAAAUGAAAGUGAAAGUCGGCCUUUGCGUCGACCUAGGGAGGAUGGGCCGCGCAACUAGGCGGCCCCGCACUCCCGGGGCGUCUCGCUCUCAUUGCGAGAAGAGGCGCACCUAGAGCGUACACGUUGGG